rnacentral:tRNA from 1 species
GACCCGGUAGCUCAGCGGAUAGAGCAUCACACUACGAAUGUGAGGGCCGAGGGUUCGAUCCCCUCCCGGGUCGCCG